UCUGGGGCUGCUGCUGCCGACACAAGACCGUCGUCACCGCAUGUGUGAGGCCCCAUCUCCAUCGAUCCGCGACCUGCCGCCGUCGCUGCCGCCGCCCUCCGCUGCAGGUACAUUGAGUACCAAUGUUUCGCCGGAAUGUCGAUGAACUUCCGUUUCGACAGAGGAGGGAUAUGUAGGACCCCUUUCGUCGUGAUGAUGCUUGUCGCCACCGCCUCUCUAGUUUACUAUGUCAUUGUUGUUUAGCUAGGUCGUCGACUGGACUUACAUGUGUUUGUGUAAUAUGUGCUACUUCGAGUCGCGAUGUUUGAACAAUAUGGUCAACUAUCUACUAUCUAAACUUGUGUUAUUGAUGCAUGCAUGUUAUAAACAUUUGGGACUUUCUAUAUAACCGUGUAUCUGUGUAUCUAGCUGUAAUUCUAGUAAUAAUUGUGUUACUGAUUGA